rnacentral:rRNA from 1 species
UAAAGGAAUUGGCGGGGGAGCACCACAAGGGGUGAAGCCUGCGGUUCAAUUGGAGUCAACGCCAGAAAUCUUACCCGGAGAGACAGCAGAAUGAAGGUCAAGCUGAAGACUUUACCAGACAAGCUGAGAGGUGGUGCAUGGCCGUCGCCAGCUCGUGCCGUGAGAUGUCCUGUUAAGUCAGGUAACGAGCGAGAUCCCUGCCGCUAGUUGCUAUCAUUAUUCUCAGGAAUAGUGGAGCGAAUUAGUGGGACUGCCGUUGUUAAAACGGAGGAAGGAAGGGGCUACGGCAGGUCAGUAUGCCCCGAAACUCUGGGGCCACACGCGGGCUGCAAUGGUAGUGACAAUGAGUUCCAAACUCGAAAGAGAGUGGCAAUCUCUAAACGCUACCACAGUUAUGACUGAGGGCUGUAACUCGCCCUCACGAAUAUGGAAUCCCUAGUAACCGCGUGUCAUUACCGCGCGGUGAAUACGUCCCUGCUCCUUGCACAAACCGCCA